ensembl:lncRNA novel transcript, antisense to TLE5
GAAGCUUCUCACAUCUUUAUUGGAAAGGCACAGCUAAGCCCACCCUUGAUACAGCAUUUUCCACUUCUCUCUGUAGAGAUCAGACGAUUGAACACGAGAUAAGCUGACUAUAUACAGACACAGGUGUGGGUGUUGCUUUUUUUUAAAAACACUUUUGUCUUUUUUUUUUUUUAAUAUCCCCUUUCUUAAAAGACAAGCUAGUAUACUGGAAAAAGAAAAAAAUAAUAAUAAAAUAAAAACCAAGACAACUUUAGUACCCUCAUCUUUAUUUGGGAAGGGGAGGGGGAAUCCUGGGUCGCCCACCCUCACCCUGCUCCUCCCAGCUCAGCUAAGCUCGUCCCUCGUGCCCCCCCUUUUGUGGGCGAUGGGAGAGGACCAGGUGGGCGUGGAGGUGUCUGGAACUAGCAGAGGUGGUGAGUGGGGCAGGUAUCCACCUAACCAGGCUGCAGGGGAGGAGGAGGGAAGCCGGGAAUGGGGUAGGAAGAAAGCUAGAGGUGGCCUGCAAGCUGGGCUGGGGCCCCCGCCGGCGGCCACCAUAAAUACUAUGGGAGUUUAGCCAAUCCC